rnacentral:misc_RNA from 1 species
AACGAGGCCGACCUGCGGCUGAGUUACCUGCGGAGGGAUCAUUACCGAGCGAGGGCCCCCCGGGCCCGACCUCCAACCCCAUGUUACCCGACCCCGUUGCCUCGGGGGCGACCCGGCCCUCUCCCGGCGCCGGGGCCCCCGGCGGACCGCCAACACUGCAUCGAUGCGUCGGAGUGAUGAGAAUGAAAUCAAUCAAAACUUUCAACAACGGAUCU